ensembl:miRNA mdo-mir-7363 mdo-mir-7363
AUCACAGAUCCAUUUGGGUAUUUUAGUAUGUGAGGAAGUACCCAAAGGAUCUGUGAUUU